GAAGUUUGAUAUUCCUGGGGGAGUGUGACACACAAAGUCAAAGACACCAGAGAUAGCCUUACACAAGAAGUCAGAGACACCAGUGUGUGUGAGAGAUGAAGUCAGAGAUGCCAUGGGGACUAUGGCACACGAAGUCAGAGACACCAGGGGAAUUGUGAAACACAAAGUCAUAGAUGCAGGGGGAAUGUUAUACACAAAGUCCAAGAUGCCAUUGUGAGUGUGGCACAGGAAGUUAUAGAUGGAAGGGGAAGUAUGAUGCACCUACUCAAAGAAACAAGGAUGAGUGUGACAAACGGAGUCAGAGAUGCCACAGAGCAUGUUUCACACAAAGCAAACAUGCUAGGGGGAGUUUGAGACUUGAAGUCAGGGACACUAGAUGGAGUGUGACAUGAAGACUGAGAAACCAUGGUGAUGAUACAACCGAAAUCUGAGAUGCAAGGGAGAUUGUGACACAAAGUCAGAAAAACAAGGGGAGUGUGACCCAGGACGUCAAGAGACACCAGGAAGUGUGUUACACACGGAGUCAGAGACACCAAGGUGAGUGUGACUCAUGAAAUGAGUGAGAGCAGGGGAAGUAUGACAUACGAACUUAGAGGUGCCACAGACACAGAGUGUUACAGACAAUGUCAGACAUGACAGAGGGACUGUGACACACAAAAUUAAGCACCAGGCGGAUUGUGACACAUGAAGUCAGAGACGCCAGGGGGAGUUUGACACACGAACUCAGAGACCCAAGUUGUGUAACAGAUGAAGUAGGAGGCAACAGGGGAAUUAUGACAAACUCAGUGAUGCCAAGGGAGAGAGUUAUACGUGAAGUCAGAGUUGCCAGGAGGACUGUUACAAAGUCAAAGGAACCAGAGGCCAGGGGAAGUUCAACACUUGAAGUCUGGGCGACACAUGGAGUAUUACACACAAAGUCAGAAAUGACAAUGGGAUUCUGACACACAAAGUUAGACACACCAGGCAGAUUGUGACACACAAAAUCAGAGAUGCCACAGUGAGUGUUACAUCCAGUCAGAGACACCAGUGUGAGUGUGACACACAAAGUCACAGAGGCCAAUGGUAGUGUUGCACAUGAAGUCAGAGAAUCCCAGGGGAGUGUUACACACAAAGUCAGUGAUGUCUUUGUGAGAGUUAUACAUGAAGUCAGAGACACCAUGGGGUGUUUACACACGAAUUCAGAGAUGCCAGGUGGAGUGUGAAACACAAAGUCAGGGAUGCCAUGUGGAGUGUGAGACAAGAAUUCAGAGAUGACAUGGGGUUGUUAUAGUGAAGUCAAUGAUGCAGGGGUUGUGACACACUAAGUCACAGACACCAGUGGGAGUCUGACACAUGAAGUCAGAGACACCAGGGGGAUUGUUACAAAUGCAGUCAAAGAAACCUUGGGUAGAAUGACAAACGACAUUGGAGAUGACAGAUGUUUUGCGACACAAGAAAUCAGAGACCACAG
rnacentral:lncRNA from 1 species